UGGCGCAAGAGAAUGGGCCGUCUCUCG
rnacentral:sRNA from 1 species